rnacentral:lncRNA from 1 species
AUGCCGCGGGCGCCUCGCGGCAGAGGUCGCCGUCACGCGGGCGGCGCCUGGGAUUGUGUCGGAGUUCGGCCGCUGCCGCCGCGGGGUGCAACCGGGAGUUGUGAAGCUGAGAGAAUACCGAGAGGCUCUCCUGUCGUUGACUGUCGACGAUUUAAAACCCCGCUAGAAUUUUCAUUAAAAACUGUAUUCCAUGGAAAUCCACAUUUCUCCGGAAUGCCACUUGAAUUUCCUGGAGGAAAGUUUGCUCAGGAAUCCUUGUCUGCUUUUAUCAUUUUGGUGGUGUGCACGAACCCGGUACUGAAAGGAACGAUUCCAAGUGCGACAGCAUUCCACAAUCUCCAAAAAAAAUUAAAGAUAAAAAAUGGGCUGUUUUUCCUUUUGCUUUUAGAAUUCAUCUUGUAAAGGACUUGUGUCCCACAAGAGAUAAACAAUAUGAUGAUAAUACCUUAUCAUAAAUUUUGCACAGAAAAUCAAGCAUUUGAGAAUAAGGAAGGAUGUCCUCGAUAUUGGUUAUGAUCAUAGACUUUGAAGUCUGAGCUGGAUUUGAAUUCCUAUACUGUUCACUGUGUGCCUUUGGCAAGUUACCUCAUCUCUCUGAGACCAUCUCCUCAUCUGUAAAGUGGAGUUCAUAGGGUCGUUUAUAGUAUUAAAUGGGAUAGAUUAAGGACUCAGUAAAUGGAAACUAUUGUUAUUGAUUUGGCCUCUUUCCUCUUUACUAAUAUUAAAGGAGUUGCUACUUGAUUUUGGUAAUUGAAAUAGAAAGGAAUAAAAUUCACCUAUAAUUCCACAACUUCAACAAAUCAAAAUGUUUUGAGUUUUAUAUAGUCUCUGUCACCCCUUUGCCAUAGGUAUACAUUGUGUAUAUGUAAUAAUUUUUUAAUGAAAAGUCAAAUUUAAAACAUUUGUUAACUUAUGAGGGGUUUGUUUUAACCAUGUGUAUAUAGGGCUUUUCUUUUUUUCUUUUGCAUUUUAAUUAGAUUGUAUUUAUUUUAGAUAAAU